UGGGGUGUGGCCAAGCGGUACGGCAGCUGGUUUUGGUCCAGAAGAUCGGGGGUUCGAAUCCCUCCACCCCAGCCA
rnacentral:tRNA from 1 species